CGUGUAGGCUGCCUCGCAAGUCGGAUGUGAAAGCCCUGGGCUCAACCUAGGAAGUGCAUUCGAUACUGCGAGGCUGGAGUCCUGGAGAGGAAGGCGGAAUUCUCGGUGUAGAGGUGAAAUUCGUAGAUAUCGAGAGGAACACCGGUGGCGAAGGCGGCCUUCUGGACAGUGACUGACGCUGAGACGCGAAAGCGUGGGGAGCAAACA
rnacentral:rRNA from 1 species